GAUGAACGCUGGCGGCGUGCUUAACACAUGCAAGUCGAACGGAAAGGCCCUGCUUUUGUGGGGUGCUCGAGUGGCGAACGGGUGAGUAACACGUGUGUAACCUGCCCUUGACUUUGGGGUAACUUCAGGAAACUGGGGCUAAUACCGGAUAGGAGCUCCUGCUGCAUGGUGGGGGUUGGAAAGUUUCGGCGGUUGGGGAUGGACUCGCGGCUUACCAGCUUGCUGGUGGGGUAGUGGCUUACCAAGGCUUUGACGGGUAGCCGGCCUGGGAGGGUGACCGGCGACAUUGGGACUAAGAGACGGACCAGACUGCUACGGGAGGCAGCAGUGGGAAAUAUUGCACAGUGGGCGGGAGCCUGAUGCAGCGACGCCGCGUGCGGGAAGACGGCCUUCGGGUUGUAAACCGCUUUCGCCUGUGACGAAGCGGGAGUGACGGUAAUGGGUAAAGAAGCACCGGCUAACUACGUG
rnacentral:rRNA from 1 species